UUUUGUAUAUACACAAACUGUUAAAAACAUCAGUCAAGAUUAUUUUUUAAUUACAGAUAUUGAACCAUUCCAGUAUUGUACAUGAUGUAGUACCAUAGGUUCCCGAGUGUUGUGUAUACAGGACCUUUGUACCUCAUACAUGGUAGCGACUGAAUCAAAUGGAGAAUCUUCAAAGUUAAAUGCAAAGAAAGGAAAUAUGAAGAUAGCCAAUGCAUGACAUAAGGAAAAGCAGUUAUGAAUUUUUAAAUUAGUUAAUGAGAGGUCAUACAUCAGAAAAGACUUAAAGCAAAGUUUAGAGUAUGUUGAGAGAAGUUCAGAACAAGUUAUUUUGUUUGAAGAGGAAUCACAGUGGUCAAGACUUCAUCUUUGAAUAAAGUGAAUUGUAUUAGAAGUGAAGCCUUAACAGUCAUGAGACAAUAAUCAAUAUUUAAUUGUUUAUUUCAAAGACUAUGUGGAUGUAAACUGACUAGCAUUUAUAUGACUUAAAUGUGGCAUUUUUCAUAUGAAGACAUACAUGGGCAAAGAAUUGGAUGCGACAACAAUUUGUAUGCAUUUAAAGACUUGAAGAACUUGUACUGUUUUCUUCAGAUUUUAAGAGAAUUAAUGUUUAAGACCGUAAAUUCUGUGUAUGAAAUGAAGAAUGUGUGCUCAUUAAAUGAAUUAUAAAAAUGUUUUCUACCUUGAAUCUAUAAAAACAACAUAAAAGAUAGACAAAUUUC